rnacentral:lncRNA from 1 species
GUUCCUGAGCGUGGCCUCGAGGUUCUGGAUCAUGGGCAUGAUCAUGGCGCCCAUGGGACUGGACAUGACCUCGUUGGGCAGGUUCAGUAUUAGUCGGGGAUCCCGGCCCCGCGCUACCGCCUGUUUGUUGGAGAUGCUCUUACAGAUGAAGAAGCUUGUGAGGAGUGGACCUUGGCAGUGGUGGAGCUAGAAAAUUUGCAAGGCCUAGGCAUACCGCAAGUCACUUUUUUUGAAAGUGCUUUACUUUACUUUACUUUGAUGUACCAAGAACCAUAUGUAUCACAUAUUUUGAUAAAUGCACUAUAUGUACUAGUGUUUCAUAGAUCAUCAUAUAUCUUUUUUUCGAAAGGAUCAUAGAUCAUAUAUUUAACAAAAAAGUGGGCACCACUCACCCAACUAACCAUUUUGGUACCCUAGGGGAGGCGAUCGGUUGAUUGCAGGCUAUGACUGUUCGUGUGUUCCUCUGAUUGAUCGAGCGCUGGAGAUGCACGCCCACGACAGCCUUUGCUGCGCUAGGGCAAGACACUCCUCCUAGCACUAUAAAAGCAACCCACCCACAACAUAGUAUCUCCCCUCCUCUCGGCACCAGCAACAAGCACACGCAAAACUCACAAGCAGCUAGCUAGUUAGCUAUGACCCAAAUGCUAGUGCUCGGUGUUGUUGCCAUAUUCCUCACCUCCUUGGCAAUGUCGACAUCAUGAGUAGAGAAGCACCUCCACCUCGUGGGCUCCCUCCCACGCGUCUCCCUCGGAGACCUUUCAAGGAAGCACGGUAUGCUCCUCCGACUCGGCGCCAUUCCCACGCUCGUCGUGUCUUCCCCUAGCGCGGCAAAGGCUGUCUCCUGCGCACCCAUGACAGCGUCUUUGCGUCCCGGCCUCCCUCCGCUAUAGGCGACAUCCUCUACACCGGCUCCACCAACAUCGCCAAUGCCCCCUACGGCGAAGCGACUACUUGCGUCAGACGAGAAAGAUCAUCACCACCCAUGUGCUCACGGCCAGGAAGGUCCGCUCCAACCUCACCUCCUGUGAGAAGGAGGUGCGCCUUGUCCUGGCCAAGCUAACGCAGGCGCAUGCUUGUUUGUUCUUCCCCAAUAUCCUCACUUCAAUUGCAUAUUAGUUUUGACACCUAUGACAACUAUCAACCAUGAUAAGAAAAAAAACAGGAAACUACAGGUGGCUCGAGGCAUGCCCGACUCUGCUCACCAAUUUAUAUGGAAAAAAGAUGUCUUUGCACUGUACCUACUAGAUCAUCCAACAUGUGCCAAUGGACACUCACACAAGGUUUAUGAUAUUGUUCAGGAGGAAGCAAAAUAUGUGUGUUCCUACAUUUUCACUUUUUCAGCGCAUGACUGAGGAGUGAGGACCAAGUAUGGCACUUUCGUCCAUAGAGUGAACCAAAAAUUGCAUGGAAGGGUUGCCCUGCUUACUACUCCUACUGCUGAUUGAAUUUGGCAACAUUAUUGACAGUCAUAUUUUCCUCAGCAGAAUGAUCUUAACCUCUGAUAAAACCCAAUUUAGCAGUGAACCAAGAAAUCUAGCAUUGAAGAAACCAUAUAGGCAUAUAUAAUCCCAUACCAUCAAAACAAAUCAGACAAAUAAAAUUGAGUUCCAUACUGCAAUACAAGUAAGCAACCGUUCCCAAUUACUUACUAUCAGUUUGCAAUUGCACCAAAGAUCGAACGUGUGUAAAAUAGUUUCAGGUCACUAGGCCUACAUACUAGCGCCAUCGCCGUGGCGCUCCAUGACGCGACGCAUGGCCAACAAAAGCCCAAAACUGUAAUCUCCUAUCACCCAGAUGUCAUACGGCAGUCCGAUUAGCAGUGCAUUGGGUCACAGUUUGACAACAAAACGAUGAGAAAAAUAAUACUAUUGGUUUCCGCAACUUUUUUUGCUAAUGUUGAAUGUGAAUCACCACCAUAUUACGAUGUUGAUCACUAAUCAACAAAACACACAAAAUGCAUAUAGUAAGUUGGGUUGUGACAUAAUCUAUUUCAAAUUUGUACAGAUACUACAAUAAUCGUCUCUCUUAGUGUUUGUUUCUCGCUAACAAACUUGCAAAGCAUUUUGUGCAGGGCUCAGACCUUCUUUUGUCGACUUCAUGGAUCCUUAGCAUCUAUAGCAGGGUUCGGCUCCUCUCCAGUUGGUCUGUUACUGCAUCCGUAAUGUAGUUACCCAAAUCUGUCGUCCGCUGAAAAUCAAAGGCUCUCCGUUCUCCUCUUUAAUUCAAUUAUUAUUUAUUGAUAAAACAGCUUGGAGGCAAAUAGAAUGACCCAAACAUUCUAUGAAACUCUCCUGAAACUAGAUCUGAACCUGUUGUGUCCAGCACCUGAAAUGUAUUCAGUGAUGCAUGUAGCAGAGGCAUGCUUGGUUGUUCUUCCCUAAUAUCUCAAUUCAGCCGAGGGAACUACAAAUGGCUCGGGCGUAAUACAGCAGAACAAAUCAUGCUUGACUCUGCCGAUCUGCUCACCAAUUUAUAUGGGAAAAAGAUGCGUGUGCGCUGUACCUACAAGUUCAUCCGACUUUGCAGUGCUGUCACGCAUGUGACCAUGUACACUCACAUCAGGUUUAUGAUAUUGUGAAGGAGUAUGUUCCUGCAUUUCCACACAUUUUCAGCGCUGAGGAGAACGAAAUAUGGCAAUUUCCUCUGUAGAGCGAAGCAAAAAUUGCAUGGAAGGGUUGCCUGCUACUCCUACUGCUGAUUGAAUCAGCAUUGUUAACAGUCAUAUGACUUUGCUGCUAAUCCAGAUAUUAUAUCAGGACUUUGUUAGGCAUAUAUUUCCUCAGCAGAAUGAUCUUAGCCUGGGAUAAAACCCAAUUUAGCAGUGAACCAAGAAAUCUAGCACUGAAGAAACCAUAUAAUCAUAUAAUUCCGCACCAUCAGAACAAAUCAGACAAAUAAAAUUGAGUUCCAUGCUGCAAUACAAGUAAGCAAGCGUUCCAAUUACUAUCAGUUUGCAGUUGCAUCAAAGAUCGAAGGUGUGUAAAAUACUUUCAGGCCACUAGGCCUGCAUACUGGCGCCGUCGCCGUGGCGCUCCAUGACCCGGCGCAUGGCCAGCGCCGCCGCCUCGCUCGCCCGCAGCGUGCCACUCGCCAUGAGCGCCGCAAACUCCCUCAUCACCUCCUCCUGCACCUUCCCCCUCGCGCUGCCGAGAGGGUCAGCCACAGUCGGCGGUGCCGGCGCGGCGGCUUUCUCCGGAGUCUGCUUCUCGACCUUCUUCUCUUCUUCUUUCUCGGAAGAAGAGCCAGCGGGCGCCGCACUAGCAGCGGCAGCGGCGGCUGUAGAACUAGCAUUGGCAGUAGGGGUUUUGCCGGCCGAAGCCGGCGGCUGCGGCACCGAGACGGAGGCCGGCGUGGGCACGAACUGGGUGGUCUGGGGCGCGGCGUUGUUCCUGAGCGUGGCCUCGAGGUUCUGGAUCAUGGGCAUGAUCAUGGCGCCCAUGGGGCUGGACAUGACCUCGCUGGGCAGGUUGAGGAUGUAGUCGGGGAUCCCGGCGCCGACGAGGAACUGCGCGACCUCGUUGCUGAAGUUGUUGCAGUUGUGGGUGAGCAGGCUGUAGGUGGCGGCGGUGUAGCGCGGCGCGAUGUCGCGGAGGUAGUCCUCGAAGACCUCGCGGGGCAGGUGGGUGACGCCCAGGUCGACGACCCGCGCGGGGCGGCCGUACUGCGUCGCCCCCGCCGGCGCCGCCUGGAUCCCGCCCCCGAAGAAGUACUCGUUGCCGUACACCACCACGCCCGUGUGCCUGCCGGAGCCAGCCGGUCGAACGGACCGGGUCAAAAUCGCGUCUUUUUCGGAUCAAUCGGAUCGAGAGAGGGGGAAUCUCGGAGGACUCACCAGAUGGCCUCGAUGGGCUUGCCGAGGAAGGAGGUGGAGAGCUGGCGCGCCAGGCCGUUGCUGAGGUCGUACACGUUGAGCGCCACCUUGUGCCCCUCCUGCCGUCCGCAACAAUCAAGCAAUCAGCGUCAGAUCUCGGGAAUCCCGGACCAAUUCGAUCGAUUGCGAGGGCGGCGCGCCGAACAACAACAACCAACAACGAAUUGGGAGUGAAGGGGAAGGGGCGAGCGCUUACCUCCGCCAUUAUCGCUUGGGAAAUCGCCGAGAUUCGAG